GGUUAAGUUAGAAAGGGCGCACGGUGGAUGCCUUGGCACUAGGAGCCGAUGAAGGACGAGACUAACAUCGAUAUGCUUCGGCGAGCUGUAAGUAAGCGUUGACCCGGAGAUUUCCGAAUGGGGAAACCCACUGUCCGUAAUGGGGCAGUAUCAUCAUCUGAAUCCAUAGGGUGAUGAAGGCAGACCCGGGGAACUGAAACAUCUAAGUACCCGGAGGAAGAGAAAGCAAACGCGAUUUCCCGAGUAGCGGCGAGCGAAACGGAAACAGCCCAAACCAAGAGGCUUGCCUCUUGGGGUUGUAGGACGUUCCACAUGGAGUUACAAAGGAACAGGAUAAGUGAAGCGGCCUGGAAAGGCCGGCCACAGAAGGUAACAGCCCUGUAGCUGAAAUCCUGUUCUCUCCGGAGCGGAUCCUGAGUACGGCGGAACACGUGAAAUUCCGUCGGAAGCAGGGAGGACCAUCUCCCAAGGCUAAAUACUCCCUAGUGACCGAUAGUGAACCAGUACCGUGAGGGAAAGGUGAAAAGCACCCCUGACGGGGAGUGAAAAAGAUCCUGAAACCGUGUGCCUACAAGUAGUCGGAGCCCAUUAACGGGUGACGGCGUGCCUUUUUGUAGAAUGAACCGGCGAGUUACGAUCUCGUGCAAGGUUAAGUCGGAAAGACGGAGCCGCAGCGAAAGCGAGUCUGAACAGGGCGAUAUAGUACGUGGUCGUAGACCCGAAACCGAGUGAUCUACCCAUGUCCAGGGUGAAGUUCAGGUAACACUGAAUGGAGGCCCGAACCCACGCACGUUGAAAAGUGCGGGGAUGAGGUGUGGGUAGGGGUGAAAUGCCAAUCGAACUCGGAGAUAGCUGGUUCUCCCCGAAAUAGCUUUAGGGCUAGCCUCAAGGGAAGAGUCUUGGAGGUAGAGCACUGAUUGGAUGAGGGCCCCCAACGGGUUACCGAGUUCAGUCAAACUCCGAAUGCCUCCGAAUGCCAUGACUUAUCCUUGGGAGUCAGACUGCGAGUGAUAAGGUCCGUAGUCGAGAGGGAAACAGCCCAGACCACCAGCUAAGGUCCCUAAGUAUACGUUAAGUGGAAAAGGAUGUGGAGUUGCCCAGACAACCAGGAUGUUGGCUUAGAAGCAGCCACCAUUUAAAGAGUGCGUAAUAGCUCACUGGUCGAGUGACUCUGCGCCGAAAAUAUACCGGGGCUAAACGUAUCACCGAAGCUGUGGAUGUUCCGUUGGAACAUGGUAGGGGAGCGUUCUAAGCGCUUUGAAGCCAGACCGUAAGGACUGGUGGAGUACUUAGAAGUGAGAAUGCCGGUAUGAGUAGCGAAAAGACAAGUGAGAAUCUUGUCCAUCGAAAGCCUAAGGUUUCCUGAGGAAGGCUCGUCCGCUCAGGGUUAGUCGGGACCUAAGCCGAGGCCGAAAGGCGUAGGCGAUGGCCAACAGGUUGAAAUUCCUGUACCACCUCCUCACCAUUUGAGCAAUGGGGGGACGCAGGAAGGUAGGGUGAGCACGCCACUGGAUGUGCGUGUCCAAGCCGUUAGGCUGACAACGAGGCAAAUCCCGUUGUCAUAAGGCUGAGCGGUGAUGGCGAGGGAAAUUUUAGUACCGAAGUCCCUGAUCCUACACUGCCAAGAAAAGCCUCUAGCGAGGUGAGAGGUGCCCGUACCGCAAACCGACACAGGUAGGCGAGGAGAGAAUCCUAAGAUGAGCGGGAAAACUCUGGUUAAGGAACUCGGCAAAAUGACCCCGUAACUUCGGGAGAAGGGGUGCUCUUUGGGGUUUAUAGCCCCGAAGAGCCGCAGUGAAUAGGCCCAAGCGACUGUUUAGCAAAAACACAGGUCUCUGCGAAGCCGCAAGGCGAAGUAUAGGGGCUGACACCUGCCCGGUGCUGGAAGGUUAAGAGGAGGGGUUAUCCUCACGGAGAAGCUCUGAAUCGAAGCCCCAGUAAACGGCGGCCGUAACUAUAACGGUCCUAAGGUAGCGAAAUUCCUUGUCGGGUAAGUUCCGACCCGCACGAAAGGUGCAACGACUUGGGCACUGUCUCAACCAGAGACCCGGUGAAAUUAUACUAUGCGUGAAGAUGCGCAUUACCCGCGACAGGACGGAAAGACCCCGUGGAGCUUUACUGCAGCCUGAUAUUGAAUUUUGGUACAGCUUGUACAGGAUAGGCAGAAGCCUUGGAAGCGUGAGCGCCAGCUUACGUGGAGGCGCUGGUGGGAUACUGCCCUUGCUGUAUUGAAAUUCUAACCCUGAGCCGUUAUCCGGCUCGGAGACAGUGUCAGGUAGGCAGUUUGACUGGGGCGGUCGCCUCCCAAAAGGUAACGGAGGCGCCCAAAGGUUCCCUCAGAAUGGUUGGAAAUCAUUCGCAGAGUGUAAAGGCACAAGGGAGCUUGACUGCGAGACCUACAAGUCGAGCAGGGACGAAAGUCGGGCUUAGUGAUCCGGUGGUUCCGCAUGGAAGGGCCAUCGCUCAACGGAUAAAAGCUCCCGGGGAUAACAGGCUUAUCUCCCCAAGAGUCCACAUCGACGGGGAGGUUUGGCACCUCGAUGUCGGCUCAUCGCAUCCUGGGGCUGUAGUCGGUCCCAAGGGUUGGGCUGUUCGCCCAUUAAAGCGGUACGCGAGCUGGGUUCAGAACGUCGUGAGACAGUUCGGUCCCUAUCCGUCGUGGGCGCAGGAAAUUUGAGAGGAGCUGUCCUUAGUACGAGAGGACCGGGAUGGACACACCGCUGGUGUACCAGUUGUUCCGCCAGGAGCAUCGCUGGGUAGCUACGUGUGGACGGGAUAAGUGCUGAAAGCAUCUAAGCAUGAAGCCCCCCUCAAGAUGAGAUUUCCCAUAGCGUCAAGCUAGUAAGAUCCCUCAGAGAUGAUGAGGUAGAUAGGUUCGGGGUGGAAGCGUGGCGACACGUGCAGCUGACGAAUACUAAUCGAUCGAGGACUUAACCAA
rnacentral:rRNA from 1 species